UCCAGACAGUUUUACUUCUACUUUAAUUUUUAUAUGUGUGUGUGUGUGUGUGUGUGUGUGUGUGUGUGUGUACAUAUAUACAUACACACAUACACAUAUAUACAUUCAUAUAUAUAC
rnacentral:miRNA from 14 species